UGUUACACACAGCUGGGCAGCAGCUUCUUCAGCAUUGUUUCUACCAGCUUUGAUGUUGGAGAUCUUUGUGGGAUAUGAGCUGAAAAAAACCAAAUGGAGAGGUGAAACGGCCACUUGAGCUGGAGAUGCUGCCUGGGAAUGGAACAUCUUUGCCACAGCUGUAUGCUAUCCAAGUGGCCCAGUGACCUCCAGUGUUAUGAUCGAUCAAGCCUGCAACAGAAUGCAGAUCCAGAUCAAAACCCCUCAGUUUUCUUAGCAGAACCAAGCUCAACCACCUCUAAUUUCUAGAACUGUGCAAACAUAUGGUGCAAAGUUGGACAAUGCUAAGUGAAAAUCCAAGAAGCAGAAGUAGAAUUUUGCAUUAAAGACGAAAUCAGCAUUAUGUUUACCGUGUCCUAAUUUCAUUCAUUCAUGAACCUUGCAUCGUACCCGUUGGUAUUUAAGGUCUGAUACCAGUCAUACUGGAGAUGAAGCUACAUCACACAUUUCUGCCUUGCAUCCAGCUUACAGGCUCAUUCAGUUAGUAUGCCUGUCUUUGAUAUGUUUCUGGCAUGCAUGAGAACCGUGGAUAACACCACUUGCAUUAGUGUACCACUGACG
rnacentral:lncRNA from 1 species